rnacentral:misc_RNA from 1 species
GAUGAAGAACGCAGCGAAAUGCGAUAAGUAGUGUGAAUUGCAGAAUUCAGUGAAUCAUCGAAUCUUUGAACGCACAUUGCGCCCGCUAGUAUUCUGGCGGGCAUGCCUGUUCGAGCGUCAUUUCAACCAUCAAGCCCCAGGCUUGCGUUGGGGGCCUGCGGCUGCCGCAGCCCCUGAAAAGCAGUGGCGGGCUCGCUGUCAUUCCGAGCGUAGUAGUUACAUCUCGCUCCGGGCGUGGCGGUGGGCACCUGCCGUGAAACACUCUUUCUAAGGUUGACCUCGGAUCAGGUAGGAAUACCCGCUGAACUUAAGCAUAUCAAUAAGCGGAGGA